UGUUGGGAUUCAGAGAUUCUUUUAUUGUUACCAUAUAACCUGCCUUAUGAUAAAUGCAUUAAUAACAUGUUUUACAGCAUUAUUUUAUCAGUAAUAUUUCUUACAGGGUUCAUAUUGCAUUGAAUAUGUUUGUCAUCACAGUGACCUUUCUAUUCACAGGUUGAGUUCAUUCUAUACACAAUGCAUAACUGUGCUUGUUUAGAGUUGAUGUUCCAUCCAAGAGGGUUUUAAGCUUCACUGGUGAGAGUGUCCAGGUGAUACAUGUUGAGGGAAGAUGAGAACAUAGCAGGUUUAGUUCAUUUUAUACACAUUGCAUAUCUGUGCUUGUUUGGAGUUGAUGUUCUAUCCAAGAGGGUUUUAAGCUUCACUGGUGAGAGUGUCCAGGUGAUACAUGUUGAGGGAAGAUGAGAACAUAGCAGGUGAAUUGCAUGCACGCUUACAAACACACAUGAUUUAAAUAUAGGCCAGGCCAAAGGCCUGGACUUGAUGCAGCUUUCAACUUUACAGCUCCUAACUUGCAGGAAUGGCGGGAGUGUAAUGAAUGAAUGCAAAACAUGCUUACAGACACAAACAUGACAGGGGUUUAUUUUACAGGGUAAAGGUGGACCACAGGUUGCUUUGUUUCUGCUUAGCAACUACUGAGGUAAAUGGUGUUAAAGAUAAAUAUGCAAUAAGUGAACAAGAAAUGUGUGAGGGUGAGCCGGGUGAAACAAAAUGUUGUAGAUAAUGGAAACUUGUCUAACGGGCAUUAACAGUAACCUUUGCAUGUUAUGUAUAUGCUUGAGGCCAAAGGAGGCAUAAAUCCAGAUAGAAAACUUUGAAGUGUGCUUUUUAGCGGAGAUUUAGGCUGACAGGGGGAUGGUGUAUAUUUUACCCGGGGUGUGUUUAAUAAAAAAACUAAAAGCGUUGCUCACACACAUAAAGAGUAUUGAGAUUAAAUAAAGUUAAUAUAAUGGAUAGAGCCCAGAACAGGAAAAUACAUAAGUAAAAUCAAAUGUAAUGUUUGAUUUCACUUUUAUUGGGAAACAAUCAGGUUAGAAAUGUGAGUAACCUAUGUUUAAACUGUGAAAACACUCUCCACAUACAUUAAAACUGUGCAACUCUGAGUGGGCCAUGCAAUCAAGCAACUGUUACAUAUCUGUAUUAAACUAGCCAACAUAGACUCACCACCACAUGAUGUUGCCCUGCAGCGGGGCAGAAAAUCAUUUCCAAACCAGGGAUCUUAUGUUGAUUAUCAUAUUCUUACUUAUGUACACACACACACACAGAAGGGAAAAAUUUCAAAACAAAACAAAAAACAACUUCGCUUAACCUGUCCAGCACAGGAGCAAAAUAAAAAUCUCUUUGGGCUCUGUUAAAAUUUCUUUAGUCAAAGUGUAAAAGGCCAAACCUAGGAGGUUGGGCAACCCGGAAAGUCCCUCCAGUAUCAGGAGUUAAUAGUCAGGAAACAUUCUUCACUUUAACGCGUUUUUUUAUGAAAAACCACUGACUCAUAGAUGCAGAUAGACAUACAAGUGCACAUACAUCCAGAUGUGCAUUUAGACAUUAAAAGUGUAGAGACAUGUACACACAGAUUGGCAAACCGGUACAGAGUCUAGCUGAAGAGCUUAACAAAGCAGACGUGGCAGUAGGGUUUGUGAUUUUGCCUGAUAUGAUAUUGGGAACCAACUUUGAAUAAUGACAGGAACCUGAGAUGAACACAGUAGGUUAGUAAGGUGUAGCAGAGAGAGGGUCAGAGCGAAGGUAGUGGACCUGGGAAUAGUGUAGUGACGUCUUUGGAAGACGUCAAAAGGGGAAUUGUAGAAUUAUAGGGACUAUUUUACAUAACCAUCAUCUUGUCAUUGCAUUAAUUAUCAUUUCAUCCAAGCAUUUAUUGAAGCUGCUGGCAUUAUGUUAUAAUUUGUAUUAUAGGGGUUAUCAUAAUCAAAUAUUAACAUGUUUAUUACAGGUGCAGUUAUAACUACUUUAAAAUGAUUGAGUUAAAUAUAUAUAUAUAUCAUAACUCAUAUGCUGAGUAUAUUGUUACAGUAAAAUAGUAGCUGAGCAAAGGCCU
ensembl:lncRNA